CAAAAUGAUAAUGAAUUAAACCUCGUUAUACUAAAAUGAUGUUAAACAUUGGUAUAACUGUUAAGAUUCUUAGCAUUGAACCACACAAUUAUUUUCUGAACUUAUAAAAUCACUGUUAUGUGUAAAGCUUCUACAUUUUUAUGUUAUUGCUUUAUUCUUCAAAAGAAACAAAUAAUAAAGUACUUGAACUUGGAGUUCUACUGUUAUAAGGGACUGAUAACUUAUAUUUGCUUAAUAUAAAGCUUCUUUUGGUUGAAACAAUAUAGUUUGGACUCACCUUCAUGUAGGAUUAUAUAGAUUUUUUUUUCUUUUGGAAGGCUUUGUGUUUGUACUUUCACAGACUACAAUGAAUUAUAUGUUAUUGCCCGUACAUUUGAAAUUAUAGUCAUACAGCAUAUAUCCUAAUUUCUAUAUAUCCUAAUUUCACUGCAACUUCAGGACUUCUUCUCUCUGAAGAGCAUUGUUAAUGGUUUCAAAUUUCAAUAUCCUUUAUCAUACAUCUUAUGCUUUUUCUUGCCAGUCAAAGAAUGGCUAAAAUUCAUGCUUCAGAUGUUUUUUGGUGUUAACUUUCUUUCCAUUUUUCAAUUUCCAUUUGCAGAUAGGAGAUCUUAAG
rnacentral:misc_RNA from 1 species